UGGGGCCUUAGAAGACAGAAAUGGCUAAAGAUAACGUGGCCUGAAAGCAGCAGACUGAAUUCAGCAAAUCACAGAAGUAGGGUGGUCACUGGGGAGAUGACUCAGCAAAUUCCCUGACCUAAGGAUGAGACCAGACAUGUUUGGUCGGCCCUUCCCCCUGGCCGAGCAGGAGAGGCGCUGGUGGAGCUGAUGGGCUGACGGCAGUGGGAAUCCUGAUCUCAAGCCCUCAUUUGACUGCAGGCCAAGCGUUUCAAACAGCAGGCCUUUCAUAGCCGGGAAAACCCCUGCUAGACCUGCUGGACACGCCACACAACCACAUACAGCUCAGCUCAUGUCAACAGAACUGAUAACCAAAUGGGGCUCCUUGGCGUCCCGUCCCCGGCAGCCUUGCCAACCCGCUACCCUCCGGGUCCCAAUUAACACGCGGCUGCACUAGAACCAGGAGGCGGGAGCUGAGGGUUUGUUUACCACAUAGUUAACAGGCAAACACAACUUAAUCACAAGGAAAACAGCUUUUAUGAGAAUCAUCUUGAAGUCCUUCAACGGUCCUAGUAAACCAUCCAGGAAGCCAAAACCUAGAGUUCCCUCCGAUGUCGUUACUGUUGGAGGGGAGGCCAGUAUGGUCUUGCUUUUUGACCAUUUACAGCCGCCAGGCUAAGCGAUGUCUCUCCCCGUUCUGAAGACCUCUCUGGGUCAUCACCCUACAUGAUCCUGUGAUCGGCUGCACUUUGGAAAGAAAUGGACUUUGGAAAGAGAUACGAGGUCGGGAAAAAAAAAAAUCUGUCUUUUAAUCUAAACCCCCCGAACACCAGGCAAUUUUCACACACUCUCUCCAUCUUCAUUCCAUCACUGGGUAGAGGACCCCUGCGUUACCUCCUUUAACAGAGAAAACCAAGGCUCUCGAGAGCAAAAAAGAUUUUGCAGAUGCGAUUAAGGUUAAGGACCUUGAGAUGAAGAGAUGAUUAUGGAUUAUCCAGGUGGGUUCAAUCAAAUCACAGGAACCCUUAAAAGAGAAGAACCUUUCCCAGCUUGUGGUCAGAGGGAGACAUGACCAUGGAAGAAAGGUCAAAGAGAGAUGGAACAGUGCUGACUUUGAAGAUGGAGGAAGAGGACCACAAACUAAAGAAUGUAGGCGGCCUCUAGAAACUGAAAAAAGCAAGAAAACAAUUUUUUCCCCAGGGCUACUAGAAGAGAAUGCAGCCCUGCUGACACCUUGAUUUUACCUCAGUGAGACCCAUGUCAAACUUCCCUCCUA